UACGAGGGAGGCUAGCGUUGUUCGGAAUUACUGGGCGUAAAGGGCGCGUAGGCGGUACUUCAAGUCAGGCGUGAAAUUCCCGGGCUCAACCUGGGGGCUGCGCUUGAGACUGGUUGGCUAGAGGCCGAGAGAGGGUGGUGGAAUUCCCAGUGUAGAGGUGAAAUUCGUAGAUAUUGGGAAGAACACCGGUGGCGAAGGCGGCCACCUGGCUCGGUACUGACGCUGAGGCGCGACAGCGUGGGAGCAAACGAGG
rnacentral:rRNA from 1 species